rnacentral:rRNA from 1 species
UACAGAGGUCCCAAGCGUUGUUCGGAUUCACUGGGCGUAAAGGGUGCGUAGGUGGUCAGGUAAGUCUGAUGUGAAAGCUCUGGGCUCAACCCAGAAAUGGCAUUGGAUACUAUCUGGCUAGAGGAAUGGAGGGGGGACUGGAAUACUUGGUGUAGCAGUGAAAUGCGUAGAUAUCAAGUGGAACACCAGUGGCGAAGGCGAGUCCCUGGACAUUUCCUGGCACUGAGGCACGAAAGCUAGGGGAGCAAACAGG